rnacentral:rRNA from 1 species
UUGCGAAAGGGUGAGUAACGCGUGGACAAUCUACCUCCUUGCUGGGGAUAACACACCGAAAGGUGUGCUAAUACCGAAUACGGUCCUCUGUCGCAUGACAGGGUGAUUGAAGGUGGGGACCCUUCGGGGCCUGUCACAAGGAGAGGAGUCCGCGUACGAUUAGCUUGUUGGUGGGGUAAUGGCCUACCAAGGCGACGAUCGUUAGCUGGUCUGAGAGGAUGGUCAGCCACACUGGGACUGAGACACUGCCCAGACUCCUACGGGAGGCUGCAGUCGAGAAUCAUUCGCAAUGCGCGAAAGCGUGACGAUGCGACGCUGCGUGGAGGAUGAAGGCCUUCGGGUUGUAAACUCCUGUCAUACGGGAGUAGAAGCUCCUUAUUUAAUAGAUGUGGAGCUGCGAUAGUACCGUAAGAGGAAGUCACGGCUAACUCUGUGCCAGCAGCCGCGGUAAUACAGAGGUGGCAAACGUUGUUCGGAUUUACUGGGCGUAAAGGGUGCGUAGGUGGGCUUGUGUGUCGAAUGUGAAAGCCUGUGGCUCAACCACAGAAUUGCGUUCGAAACUGCAGGUCUUGAGUAUAGGAGGGGAGAGCGGAAUUCAGGGAGUAGCGGUGAAAUGCGUUGAUAUCCUGAAGAACACCGGCGGCGAAGGCGGCUCUCUGGCCUAUUACUAACACUGAGGCACGAAAGCUAGGGGAGCAAACAGGAUUAGAUACCCUGGUAGUCCUAGCUGUAAACGGUGUGUGCUUGAUGUGGGGAGGUUGACCCUUUCCGUGUCGGAGCUAACGCGUUAAGCACACCGCCUGGGGAGUACGGCCGCAAGGUUAAAACUCAAAGAAAUUGACGGGGGCCCGCACAAGCGGAGGAGCAUGUGGCUUAAUUCGAUGCAACGCGAAGAACCUUACCUGGACUUGACAUGUAGCUGCACGCCUCCUGAAAGGGAGGAAGCUUUCGAAGGUGCUACACAGGUGCUGCAUGGCUGUCGUCAGUUCGUGCCGUGAGGUGUUGGGUUAAGUCCCGCAACGAACGCAACCCUUGUGACUAGUUGCCAGCGCGUAAUGGCGGGGACUCUAGUCAGACUGCCUGUUCUGCAGGAGGAAGGUGGGGAUGACGUCAAGUCAGUAUGGCCCUUACGUCCAGGGCUGCACACGUGCUACAAUGGCCGGUACAGAAGGAAGCAAAACCGCGAGGUGGAGCAAAUCCCCAAAACCGGUCCCAGUUCGGAUUGGAGUCUGCAACUCGACUCCAUGAAGUUGGAUUCGCUAGUAACGGCGUAUCAGCUACGACGCCGUGAAUACGUUCCCGGGCCUUGUACACACCGCCCGUCACAUCAUGAAAGCCGUCUGCACCCGAAGUCAUUGUGCUAACCUGUUAAGGGAGGCAGGUGCCGAAGGUGUGGGUGGUGAUUGGGAUGAAGCC